CCUACGGGUGGCAGCAGUGAGGAAUAUUGGUCAAUGGCCGGAAGGCUGAACCAGCCAAGUCGCGUGAAGGAAGAAGGAUCGAUGGUUUGUAAACUUCUGUUAUAGGGGAAUAAAGGGAGACACGUGUGGAUAUUUGCAUGUACCCUAUGAAUAAGCAUCGGCUAACUCCGUGCCAGCAGCCGCGGUAAUACGGAGGAUGCGAGCGUUAUCCGGAUUUAGUGGGUUUAAAGGGUGCGUAGGUGGUUUUUUAAGUCAGCGGUGAAAGUUGGUGGCUCAACCAUAAAAGUGCCGUUGCAACUGGCAGCCUUGAGUGUGUUUGAGGUAGGCGGAAUGCGUGGUGUAGCGGU
rnacentral:rRNA from 1 species